AUGAAUUCGGCGGAGCAGACCGUUACGUGGCUGAUCGCCUUGGGCGUGCUGGAGUCACCCAAAAAGACCAUCUCCGACCCCGAGGGCUUCCUCCAGUCCUCCCUGAAGGACGGCGUGGUCCUCUGCCGCCUGCUCGACCGCCUGCUCCCGGGCACCAUAGACAAAGUGUACCCGGAGCCGCGGACCGAAGGCGAGUGCCUGAGCAACAUCCGCGAGUUCCUGCGGGGCUGCGGUGCCUCCCUGCGCCUGGAGACUUUUGAUGCAAAUGACCUGUAUCAGGGACAGAAUUUCAGCAAAGUUCUCAGCUCUCUUGUGGCUUUAAAUAAGGUGACUGCAGACAUAGGACUGGGCAGUGACUCUGUGUGUGCACGUCCCUCAUCUCAUCGGAUAAAAUCUUUUGAUUCUCUGGGAUCCCAGUCUUUACACAGUAGAACUUCAAAACUCUUUCAGGGACAGUAUCGGAGUUUGGACAUGACAGAUAACGGCAACCAUCAGUUGGUGGUGAGAGCAAAAUUUAAUUUUCAACAGACAAAUGAAGAUGAACUUUCUUUUUCAAAAGGAGAUAUUAUUCAUGUUACAAGAGUGGAAGAAGGAGGCUGGUGGGAAGGAACUUUAAAUGGAAAAACAGGGUGGUUUCCAAGUAACUAUGUACGAGAAAUAAAAUCAAAUGAAAAACCGGUUUCCCCCAAAUCAGGUACAUUGAAGAGUCCACCUAAAGGCUUUGAUACUUCUGCAAUUAACAAAAGCUAUUACAAUGUGGUGCUACAAAAUAUAUUAGAAACAGAAAAUGAAUAUGCUAAGGAGCUACAAACAAUGCUUUCAAACUACCUGCGACCAUUACAAGCCAGUGAAAAGUUAACCUUGGCAAAUACUUCAUACUUAAUGGGAAACCUGGAAGAAAUAAGUUCUUUCCAGCAAAUGCUUGUACAGUCUUUAGAAGAAUGCACCAAGUUGCCUGAAGCUCAGCAGAGGGUUGGAGGAUGUUUUCUAAAUUUGAUGCCUCAAAUGAAAAGCUUAUACCUUACAUACUGUGCCAACCAUCCAUCAGCAGUAAAUGUUCUCACAGAACACAGUGAGGAGCUAGGAGAAUUCAUGGAGAUGAAAGGUGCCAACAGCCCUGGGAUCCUUGUACUGACCACAGGCCUCAGCAAACCUUUUAUGCGUCUGGAUAAAUACCCCACGUUACUCAAAGAACUUGAAAGGCACAUGGAGGAUUAUCAUCCGGAUCGUCCAGAUAUUCAAAAAUCCAUGACUGCCUUCAAAAAUCUUUCUGCGCAAUGUCAAGAAGUACGGAAACGGAAAGAACUUGAACUGCAAAUACUGACAGAAGCUAUCCGUUGUUGGGAGGGAGAGGAUAUUAAAACACUUGGCAGUGUGAUUUACAUGUCCCAGGUCAUGAUUCAGUGUGCUGGAAGUGAGGAAAAGAAUGAAAGGUAUCUUCUUCUCUUCCCUAACAUUUUGCUAAUGUUGUCUGCCAGCCCAAGAAUGAGUGGGUUUAUCUAUCAGGGAAAACUGCCCAUGACUGGAAUGACUAUUACAAAGCUAGAAGACAGUGAAAACCAUAAAAAUGCAUUUGAAAUAUCAGGAAACAUGAUUGAAAGGAUACUAGUUUCUUGUAACAACCAACAAGAUUUACAUGAAUGGGUGGAUCACCUGCAGAGGCAAACCAAAGUCACAACUGUUGGGAAUCCCACCAUUAAACCUCACUCUGUGCCAUCUCACACGCUUCCUUCCCAUCCAGUAACACCCUCCAGUAAGCAUUCAGACAGCAAGCCAAUACCACUGACUCCUGCGUACCACACUCUCCCUCAUCCAUCACAUCAUGGGACUCCACAUACCACGAUAAACUGGGGACCACUGGAACCUCCGAAAACCCCCAAGCCUUGGAGUCUGAGCUGCUUACGGCCCGCACCGCCACUACGGCCUUCAGCAGCUCUUUGUUAUAAAGAGGAUCUCAGUAAAAGCCCUAAAACCAUGAAAAAGCUGCUUCCCAAGCGCAAGCCAGAACGGAAGCCAUCAGAUGAAGAGUUUGCUCUGAGAAAAAGUACAGCUGCUUUAGAAGAAGAUGCUCAGAUUCUUAAAGUCAUUGAAGCAUAUUGCACAAGUGCCAAAACACGUCAAACACUAAAUUCAACAUGGCAAGGCACUGACCUGAUGCAUAAUCACGUCUUGGCUGAUGAUGACCAAUCAAGUCUAGACUCCUUGGGUCGUCGCAGUAGUCUUUCUCGUUUGGAGCCUUCAGACCUCUCAGAAGACUCUGACUAUGACAGUAUAUGGACAGCCCAUAGUUACAGAAUGGGGUCUACAUCUCGUAAGAGCUGUUGCUCAUAUAUCUCUCACCAGAACUAAUGCACUUCUGAGCUUUUUCUUAACAAAUGCUUGUUGUAUCACAGCCUGCUUUUCUUAGAUGUUUUCUUGCUGUUCCUUGUCUCUUUAAUGUGAUAUUUUAACAACUUCUGAGGGAGCUCCUGAAACUUCAGUUAUACCUGGUGGAUGGCUCUAUUGCCAAUUCAAUACACAUACAAAUAAGUCUUUCUAAAAAGUGUAUAUCCUGUUAAGGAUGCUAUUUCUUGAGGGCUUUUUUAACUGACAUGUUAAUUUGUAGCUCUGAAUGGUCUUUUUUUUUCUUUUGACUUGGUCAGUGUAGUAACAGGUCCUUUGUUUCCUUUUUUAUUUUAGAUACAGCACAUUUUUAUAUUUUGUACUGAAACCAUACUGGUUGUGAGCUGAGUGCCAGCUAUAUGGAAAUACCUUAGUGGUAGUGGUUGCAUUUUCUACAUAUUAUUAACAAAAUACAAAGCUGGUAGAGUAAGAAAAAUGCAGCUUAAAAAUAAGCAGUACAAGAGCUGUAAAAUCAUUCAGAUAUUCACGUAUCUGGCCUAUUUGUUUGGAAGAGCAUUUGCUAAUCCAUAAAAAAUUCUGGUUUUAUGGUGCUGUCUUUUCCUCAUUGCUUAAAACGUUUAUAUGAAGGACCUCACUGCUCUCCCCCCACCCCAGUCUGGCAAUUGUCAUGAAAACCUGGCAGUCCAUGCUCAUUACAUGCAGUGUUUUGAUAAUCUCAUGUUACCUGUGGUCAUACUGUCACUUUACUGUAUGCAGUAGCGUGGCAGAAAGCAGGGUUUAGAUGUUUACUUGCCUGUUAAAAUACACAGCUGCCAACUCUCAAUUGACCAUUCUUCUUCAAAAGAUGAGAUGAAAAUGGUUCCCCUGAUGGAGGCUCCAGUGUUCAGCAUCUGAAACUCUAGGUACAACUGUGAUCAAAUUGGCUUGUUUGAAGUUCUGAAUAAUAGAAUGCUUGGCUUUUGGGUUGUACUGUUUGGAGCAUGUCCAUGACAGAUUUUGUGUCUUGUAACUUCUCUCAUGAGCAGGUUUGUUUUCACAGCAGCUCUUCACUUACAGUCGUGUUGGCUUUUCAGAGAACUGUGACAUGCUGUGCACAGCUGAAGGUCUCAAACCUGCACCAGGGGCACUGCUGGGGUGAAGUGUGUGUGUAUGUGUUCUGUCUUGUUGCUAAAGUAAUUGGCAUCAAAACAAAAAUUACAUGUUUUCUAAGUCUUUUUUAGCUUAGGGAAAAGUAUGAUGAAAGUGAUGAGAGAUCAGAAACACUUCUCAGUUUCACUAGGGUUCCCAAGUGCAACUCCCUUAUCCCUUUUCACAUAAGCAUGUUAUCCAGAGUUCAGAUAUUACUAUAUGAACAAGUUCAGAAUAAUCAUGAUGUAAUUAACUGCAGCCUGGGAACUUGAUCAUACUGUUUAGAAGAUAAUCAAUACCUUUCUGCAGGUUACAUGAUCAGAAAGUUAGUAAUUGCUAGUAAUUGCUAGUAAUAGGCAUGCAUGGUUCCAGAAGGUGGUCAUUGUGGACAAGAUAUUUCAAAGCAGCCCAUGUCUUCAGAUUUGCAUUCAGUCUUGUUUGAUGACCUGUUUUAUCCUCUCUUACUAUUGUUGGCAUUCAGUAAUGUGACUAACAAAAGCAGUGGUGCUAACUAAGGAGGGUUUUCAGGGCUAUGUUUUACUACUGGUCAUAUAUUUAAGUAAUGACCAGGAACUUCUGUAUGUUGAAUCUUUUUUAAAUGGAGGAGUGUUGCUUAGAGAAACGAGAUAAGUAUGUGUGCUCCAUGCCAUUUCACAGUGCAUUUGUAACACACUUCACUCCCUUCUUCCUUUCAAUCAGUUUUUGUUUUGUUUGUUUUUGUUGGUUUUGGGGUUUUUUUAACAUAUAUAGAAAGUAUGGAUUUUUGCCCUGUUUCUUAUGCUGUGGUGUUCUAGUUGAAUAAUGUUUUCUGCACUGGAUAAAUGAUAAUUCCUUUAUGUCUGUUUCAUGUUAUAUAGUGUAAAUAUGAGUUUGUAAUACACUUGUUGCACUUGAAAUUUCCUUAUCACACAGAAAGGUUUGCUAUUCAGAUAUGAAGAUUUUACUGACUUUAUAUUCACCAAAGCUUUGACAGUUUACCACCAUUAAUUAUUGUAGCAUUUAAGUCAUUAAGUAUUAUCAUAAUUAGGAUCUCUCAUAUUGUCUAUCCUCAUAUUAACAUCAUAGCACAUUUAAAACCAUUCUAUGUCUUCAGUGUUACUGGCUGUAAGCUAUUGUGAACUGAUCGGGAGUAUUAAUGCAAAAUGCUUAAAACAAACAAACAGAAAAGGCAAAUGUGGAAAUGGUGGUAUUCAGUCCGAAGGUUCAGUGUUUCUGUUUUUGUGGAACUUCAGUCAUGGUAAUAACAGUACCUUAUGUUUAUGCAAUUCUGUAAAUUGUAUGUGUACAGUUACAAAUACACUGGAAGGAUGGAGAAUCUGAAUUGGAAGGUAGGUUCAAGCCAUUGUCAGCCCCUCUUCACAUGGCUUAUGCAGUGUUUCCAUAAAUUAGUAUUUGCCAUAAAUUGAAACCAACCGAUAUUAAUUGGGUGUUUUGCAUAAUCUUGCCAAAACACAGUAAUGUGUAUAUAGUGACGUAAAACAUAGAAAAAAUAAUAUAUAUUGUGCACUUCAUUUGUGAAUGGGAGAAGCCAUCUUUAGUAGGUGACUGCCUUUUGAAAAUGCAAAAUGGAUGUAUAUCUGAAUGUUGCAUUGUACUGUACAGUAUGCAUAUUGUUUGUGGUUGCAUAUAUCAAUUAAGUGUUUUGUUUUCUAUAAAAAGAACAUCUGUUAUGUACAGUUGAAAUAAAUUUUCCAUUUGCUAGACUGUGACUUUAAUAUUUAAUUAUUACACAGGGGAAAGGACAGCAUAACUUGUAACUUAACACAUUCUCUUCUCCUCAUGCCUCCUUUCUCUUCCUUCCUUCUUCCCAGAGGAAUCAAAUGCUGAAGUGAAAGACCUUUUUUGACAUAACUGUGUAAUCUUUGUUUAAUGUAGUUGACACCUACAAGAAAUUCAAUGUAAUGUGAAGUUAUAUAUUUUAUCAUGAACCAUAAAAGAAAAGAACUGUUAUCACAAAGCAGCUGUUCAGCAACUGAUUUCUCUGGACAGGCCUAUGCUCUGUAAUACCAGAUUAUCAGUUCAAAGUGGAUGAGAUGUUCCUCGUUAAUGAAAGUUCAUUAAAAUGAAUUGGUAGGCAAAUGUACCCUGUUUGUUAAAACUGAUAUCUUAGUUAAAAUAUGCAAGAACUUUAAUGCCUUAUCUACAGUGUUUGAAUUCUGAGUAAAUGCUUAGACACCAAUUUAUUUACAGACCUUCUUAAAAAAAAAACUUGUAAUUUGUUGCAGCCUAAUUAAAUAAAGUUUCUAGAAUACAUACUUUAUGUAUGUAUGAAUGGAUGUACAUAUCUGAGAUUAGAUUUUUCCAGUCAUAACUAAUUUUUUCUAAUCUGUGUGUUUUACCUUGAUGUUAUAAAUUGUAAUGAGUGUGGAAAAUGUUUUGAAGAUUUUGGAAAGUUCUGAGUUUUUAUCAUCAAACUGAGGUGCUUUUAAAAACAUUUAUUAAAUAUAAAGAGUGUAUUUCAUUUGGUAGGAAUUUAUUAUAGGACUAAAACGCUAUCUGUAAGUGUAUUUAUGCAUGUCAUUCACACACACAGAAGUAUGGUGCUUAUAGUGUUUCAGGGAAAGGGGUUUUAACUUUUGUCCCCUCAUUGCUGUCGUUUGAUACCACUAUUCUGCUCCUCAGUGACAGAGUAAUGGGUUUAAAGCUGAACUGUUUCUUAUAUUUGUAUCAGUGUGAGAUCAGAAUCUGUCCUUGAGGCUCAAAUCAUGGUUAUUUAAACACAGCUAUCUCUUUCUCAGUCUGCCAUUGUGAAUUUGUAUAGCUUUUACUGACGGUUGAAUAGUGCACUGUUUGUCGAAUGGUGUAGCACCCCUGUCGAUGACACAGGAGUUGUCAGCAGUGCAGUAGGAGUGUCAAACAAUUUUUUGUUUUUUUAAGGCUGUGGUUUCAAAUGUAAAAAAUGUGUCAGUAAUGUCUGUUUGUGGAGGGAAAGGGGAAAUGGGAAGUGGCAUACCUUGGUUCUGCAGGUGUAUCAUGCAGUGAAUGAAAGAAUAAUCUUUAAAAUGCCCCAACAAUGUUUGUGAUUUGCUCAUUUUGUAAUUUAUUUUUACAACAGGUUCUCGUAAAGAGUCAGCUCCUCAAGUCCUGCUUCCAGAAGAAGAAAAAAUUAUUGUAGAAGAAACUAAAAGUAAUGGUCAGACUGUUAUAGAAGAGAAAAGCCUUGUUGACACAGUAUAUGCAUUAAAGGAUGAAGUACAGGAAUUAAGACAGGAUAACAAAAAGAUGAAGAAAUCAUUAGAAGAGGAACAAAGAGCUCGCAAGGACUUGGAGAAGCUUGUUAGAAAAGUUCUAAAGAACAUGAAUGAUCCAUCUUGGGAUGAAACCAACUUAUAACUAAUUUUUUUCUUUUUUUGUCCCCCCCUUUUUCUUUCUGUUGAAAGACCAGUUGUAAAACUGAGCUGGGAAGCCUUCUGACAUUAGUCAGUGUUGCAUCAAGAACACUACAAAGCAGGAUUUAACUGGAUCUAAUGAUUUCUUCCUCUGAGCAUACAGAAACAGUCAAGCCAUUUUCUGAAGCAAUCUGUACUUUAAGUGUGGAGACCAUGGAUCCUGAACUCUACUAAACUUAAUUUGUUUGCAUCUAAAUUACCUCAUUUGCAGAAAGUGCAGCACCUGACUAAAAGUCCAUGUUUUUCAGUGGCUUUUUAAUGAAAUAUAUAUUUUUCAUGUAAAUAGCUGUAAUUUUGAUUGCAUAUGUGAUUGAUGUAUCAGAGCUGAUAUGUUUGGGGUUUUUUUCUCGUUAUUACAAUGGUCACAAGUGUUAGAAAUGAUGGCAGUACUGUCUUACCUAAGAAUGGUAUGAAUUAUGAAUUAGUUCCAAAUUACCCACUCAACACACAUGCAAAUUUAAACCUCUGUUUUUCCUAUUGACCACUAUAUUUAAAUCAUUCACUGUUACUUGUCUGUCCAUACAUUUUCAAACAGUUUACAAUUCCUUAAGAGCAGUAUUAAAAUACAGAAAAUUGUUUAUUGACAGUAGAAACAAUUUUUAACAAAACUAAUGUCCACAACUUACAUUCACAUACACAUAUUUGGCAGACUAAUCUGUUGUGGUUUGGCCACUAGAAGACUGAUGUACUUGCCUGCUUUUUAUGACUGAGAUUUUUAAGUGUUUGUGUACUACAUUUUCUAUUGUGCUUAAACAUAAAACUGGCUGAUAAUUUAAUGGAUCAUACUGUUUGUUAAACAAAAAAAAAUCAAUCUAAUCCAGAAUUUUGUGAAUAAAUCGUUGCUAUUUAUAUUUUAUGGUCACAGCAGUUAAAUUUUAGCUAACCUUUGUGCAUAAGACACACAGGCCAGACCAAAUUUCAUUCAGAACUUUGUUUUUAUACCACUAUAAGACUCUCUGGAGUUCCCGUACUGUGGAAGCACUCAUUUCUUUCCUACCCUAUUUUCUCAGCAUGUUGCUGUUUCUGUCCUACUAGGAUUCGAAUGGAAAGAAAUAUGGAAAUAAGAUUUUUUUUUCUUUUAAAUCAUACUGUAAUUUUUACUUUGCACUGCUGACAGAUUUGAAAAUACAUAAAGGAACAUUAAUUCCCAAGUCUGAUAGGUGCAAUUACUGCAGUUUCUUGUAUUUGAAAUAGGAGAUGCUACAUCACUGCAAAUGGUGAGCUUCAAAUGGAGCACUUAAAAUGCUGAUCCCAUUAAAGCUUUUUUUUUUUCAUGGAUUUCAUCAAACUUUGGGUCCAAGUCCAGAUGGUGCAGUUUUCUGAGGGGUUUUUAUUCAGCUGACAGUCAGAAGUACAGGUAUAGCACAGACCUGAGUUGCACCUUUUGCAAUCCUGAUUUUCUAGUGCCCUUUAACUCCUGUUAAAUGUAAUGCUCAGACUUGAGCAAAUGUUUAUAUGAACUUUAGUAAGUUGGAGCAAGGGUGAUUAGGGUUGUAAGAACUGUCAUGCACAUUUUAAAUCUAUUGGAAAAUCUAUUUUUAAAGCUAUCCACAUUUUUCAGCCAAGAACAGCUUUUUAAAUAGGAAAUUGUCAGUUUUUGCAUACUUGUGAAACAAUUCUGUGGGAAUGGAUACUUGAUAAUCUGAAUAGACAAGUUGUCUGUUUUAAAAAGCUGAAUAUAUUUGUAGGUAUUUUGUGUUCCUGCAAUUUAAAAAUGCUUUCCUUUAAUCCUAAAGGAGGAGAAAAUCAAAAAUGUCUACAUUAUCAGAGUUACAUAUAUUCACAGAACUUUAAACUUAUUUUAAUUCUCUAUACCAAAAUCUUUUCUUGAUGUUUGCAGUUGCACAAAAGUGUGGACUGGCAUUUAUAUUUAUCUUCACAUUUAGGAAAUACUCUUGCUGAAAGCUAAGUGAUACUAAACCAUGCAAAUUAAUAGUAUCUUGGCCAAAUUUAGAUUUGGGAAUGCUGAUAUAAUUAGAGUUUUGCUAACAUUUUUACUUUCUGACAUUCAGGCAAAUUUACAGAGUGAACUUUAAUUUUCAGCUGAGCAUAUGCGAAAGGACAUUCCAGAGAAAGAUAUAUAAAAGGAAAACACUAACCUUAGCAGUAUUUAGCAAAUUUACUCAGGAAAAACUUCCAUCAUGACAAUUUGUUUUACCUUGUAUUGUGAAGAGUGGUGUUGCUAUGUAAAUCUGCUGACUCUUAGUGCCUGUGAUUAUUAUAAUUUCUGACAGUACCCCUCUACUGACAUCUAAUGAACAUGCCUUAAACACUGGGAUUAAGAAGUUGUUAAAUACGACCAGGACUUAGGGACUGACUUUAUUCAAGGUGGAUUGGGAUGACUAAUUUUCAUAAAAAAACACACAAAAAAAAAAAACAGGGAGGGGAGGUAGGAAGAAAACCAACCUAAUAUUGCAGAUAGCUUUUGCCUCUAGUGCAGAGAGCACCUUCAGGCUUUUGGGAACCAAGGAGUAACUGAAGCUUUUUCCAUUGACAAUUUGUUACACUGUAUAUAAAUUGUAAAUGUCACCAUGGACCUUCUGAAUUGUUGGAAACUUUAUAUAAGCAUGGAUAAAUGGGGCACUGUUUAUUUAACCUAUUAAAGGGUUAUUUGUUUGCUCUCAUCAUUUAGGGAUGAGGAGAUGAAGCCAUUUCUUGUCCUAUAGAUGUGAAGCACUUUCAGUUCUGAACUGUCCAAAAUGUAGCAUAAGAUUUCGCUGUACUAUACUGAUGUAUGUGUGUUUGUCUCACUGUGUCAUGACGUCUUAAAGAUUGAACAACUGACUGCUUUUGUAUAAACCUUCUUAAUGUCAAUCAUUUAGGGAAUUUAGAGUGUCUGUUUAUGAUGUCUGUGGAGAACUCAAAUUUAGUUUAGAUGUCACAAUAAUAUCCUGAUAUCGACUACUAAGGCUUUUAUGCUACAUUGCUGUAAUUAAACCAUGAUUUUUUCCCCUA